rnacentral:rRNA from 1 species
UACGUAGGCAGCGAGCGUUGUUCGGAGUUACUGGGCGUAAAGGGUGUGUAGGCGGUCCUCUAAGUUUGGUGUGAAAUCUCCCGGCUCAACCGGGAGGGUGCGCCGAAAACUGGAGGGCUAGAGUGCGGGAAGGGAGGGUGGAAUUCCUGGUGUAGCGGUGAAAUGCGUAGAUAUCAGGAGGAACACCGGUGGUGUAGACGGCUCUCUGGACCGCGACUGACGCUGAGACACGAAAGCGUGGGUAGCAAACAGG